rnacentral:rRNA from 1 species
AGUGAACGCUGGCGGUAGGCCUAACACAUGCAAGUCGAACGGCAGCACAGUAAGAGCUUGCGCUUACGGGUGGCGAGUGGCGGACGGGUGAGGAAUACAUCGGAAUCUACUUUUUCGUGGGUGAUAACGUAGGGAAACUUACGCUAAUACCGCAUACGACCUACGGGUGAAAGCAGGGGAUCUUCGGACCUUGCGCGAUCGAAUGAGCCGAUGUCGGAUUAGCUAGUUGGCGGGGUAAAGGCCCACCAAGGCGACGAUCCGUAGCUGGUCUGAGAGGAUGAUCAGCCACACUGGAACUGAGACACGGUCCAGACUCCUACGGGAGGCAGCAGUGGGGAAUAUUGGACAAUGGGCGCAAGCCUGAUCCAGCCAUACCGCGUGUGUGAAGAAGGCCUUCGGGUUGUAAAGCCCUUUUGUUGGGAAAGAAAAGCAGCAGGUUAAUACCCCGCUGUUCUGACGGUACCCAAAGAAUAAGCACCGGCUAACUUCGUG